CUCGCCCUGCGCUCCUUCCCGGCAUGGCCAGAGCCUCGGCGGGGCUCCGGAGCCGCAGCCGCCGCAGAGAUGCUGCUCCCAUCCAUCCCUCUGCUCCUCUGGCUCUUCCUGCUGCUCCCAGGUUCCACAGCCUCCACAAACUCCUCCAUCGAUGCUGUAACAGGUCCACCCCAGCCAACAACACACAGCCCUGAAGUGAAGAACCACACCUCAGAGCCGGCAGUAAAACCAACAACACCCCCCAGCCCGAGUCCCACCUCUGCGGGUCAAACUACUACAGCCACACCCUCCACCACCACCAACACUCCAACAACACUGCCAGCCUCAACUGGGCAAGAUGAUAAGCCUAGUGGAAACAGAAGCACAGCAGCUACUUCUCCAACACCUCAAGAUCAAGAGCCCACGAGAAGGGAGAGAACCACAACACCAGUGCCUCAAGGUGUUCCCUCCUCCCAGAGAGGCCCCUCAGAGCCUGUCACCCCCACGCUGAACUCCUCUGAGCCCACCCCGACGGACGACGGAUCACCACUGACAGUGGCAGCUUUUGGUGUCAUCAGCUUCAUUGUUAUCCUGGUGGUGGUGGUGAUCAUCCUGGUCAGUGUGGUCAGCCUGAGGUUCAAGUGUAACCGCUCCAAGGAGGAAGACAAACAGAAACCAGGAAGCUCCAUGGUAUCAGAGAGCUGCUCAGCAGACACGAGCCAGAAGGACAACAGCAUCACUCUGAUCUCCAUGAAGAACAUCAACAUGAACAACAGCAUGAGUUACCCACCAUCAGAAAAGGUGUCCCUUUUCAGUCUUGCUUUUUAGGGCAUUAGCUGGGGAUCAUUUCUGUGGCUGGAUAAGAGCAUGCCUUUGAGGUUCUAUGAAGAGCCCAGAGAAUGAAGCUGAGACAUCACAACCAGCAGUGACUUUCUAGGUUCUUUUUCUUUUUUUUCCCUUUGUGGAAAGAGCGAGGGUGGAUUUUAUAUAUAAAUUAUUAUGUCCUUUCUGAUCAAUACAUAUAGUGUUCUACAUAGCUUCCCCACCUGGGGCCUAAGGGCUUUCUCCAGUUACGGCCUGCCAUGCUCAGUGGUUGAUAUCUAACUCUAUUUUUGAGAUGCCUUCAAACACUCAGAAUAAAUCCAGCAGCAGAAAGCACCAAGGCACCACCUACUUCACUAAUGGCCUUUACAGUCUGUGCCAGGCAGUCACGGGCUCGUUAAUCAGCGCAGCCCCACGUCAAGUCAAACCCGUGUGUUAGGAAAGCCUGAUCUGAAGACCUGAGGAGACUUAAAUGGCCAAGUUCUAGGUCAAAUCCCAGUAUGAUAAUCCAAGCCCCUUAUCCCUGGUGCCCUCAUUGUCCCCACAGUGGUGGGGAUGAUCACACCCACCUGCCUCACAGGGUUGUUGUGAGGCUACAGUAGUCCAUGUCUGUACAGCAUUUGGAGAGCCGUGAAUUAAAGGUGCUGCUGAAAUACAAUUUGCUGUCUUAAAGACUUUAUUAUUAAUACCUGAGCUUCAGGCAGGCAGAUCACUGCCUUCACAUGUGCUUAAACACUCAUCAGUGUGAGGAAUGAAGUCUCUGCACAGACAGGGGUUUAGCUGAGUGUAAAACCCAGUGGCCACAAGCAACAUGCUGAGCUACUUGAGUUCCUGGAGUCUGGCAGCGCGAGUGUGCUUGGGAGAGCUUCCAUCGCCUCCACCACUG